rnacentral:tRNA from 1 species
CAGAAAAUAGUUUAAUAUAAAAUUCUGGCUUUGGGAGCCAGUGGUGAGAGUUAAAAUCUCUCUUUCUGG